UUUUUUUUUUUUCUUUUUUUUUUCCUAUUAUCUGUAUGUACUUUGCAAGCACAAACCGAAGAAUAGAUCAGAUAGGCUAUGGUGGCCAUAUAUGUAUUGAGAAGAAUUGCUAUGUA
rnacentral:ribozyme from 1 species